CCUANGGGGGGCUGCAGUCGAGAAUUUUUCACAAUGGGCGAAAGCCUGAUGGAGCGACGCCGCGUGGGGGAUGAAUGGCUUCGGCCCGUAAACCCCUGUCAUUUGCGAACAAACCUUAUCAUUUAAAAGAUGAUGAGCUGAUUGUAGCGAAAGAGGAAGGGACGGCUAACUCUGUGCCAGCAGCCGCGGUAAUACAGAGGUCCCAAGCGUUGUUCGGAUUCACUGGGCGUAAAGGGUGCGUAGGUGGCCGGGUAAGUCUGACGUGAAAUCUCCGAGCCUAACUCGGAAACUGCGUCGGAUACUAUCCGGCUCGAGGGUUGGAGGGGGGACUGGAAUACUUGGUGUAGCAGUGAAAUGCGUAGAUAUCAAGUGGAACACCAGUGGCGAAGGCGAGUCCCUGGACAACUCCUGACACUGAGGCACGAAAGCUAGGGGAGCAAACAGGAUUAGAUACCCCGNUANUC
rnacentral:rRNA from 1 species